AAACUCAAAUAGAUGAAUAAUGAAUCAAUACGGAAGUCAACAGCCCAAACAUCUGUCAGUGCAGGUGAAAGGCCGCUCACUGAUGUAAGUAAUGUAUGUAAGUAAACACUACAAAAUGAAGAGGUGGCGAGCUAAUUUAUAGUAACCUUAGCUAGCUAGCUAAAGUUUCACACGUGUUUAUUUCAGCCCGUUAUCUCCUGUAACGUUAGCUUUAGCUCUGUAGCUUCCUUUACUAUAAAACACCGGCGGGCCUCUGAAUCACAGUUUGGGAGGAAGCUUCAAGAGAAAACAAGUAUGUGUGAAGUACACUAAAGGCAACGAGUUGGAGACUUCUGGAGGAGAAUGGCUCUGAAUUUGUUUGAGAGGAGACGGACAAUCACACUGAUGCAUGGAACGGCAUCAUUCCACAGCCUUGCAAGGUACUCCAAGCCCCGCAGGACCUGCUUGGUCACCCAGAUGAUCUCGAACUCCCUCAUGGGCCCGCAGCUGUCCAGCUUCUCCAGCACCGAGCCGCCCUCGCCGGCCUCCAUGAACAGGUGGACGCUCU